AUGGAAAAGGGGAGAAGACGGGAGAGGAAGAGGGGAAUUGGGGAAAAGGGGAGAGGUGCUGGGCUGGCACCAUCCUGUCUCAGGAAUGUCCUUCACACUGACAUGGAGAGAUGGAUGGAUGGAUGGAUGGGCGUUCAUGAUACCACACACACGGCACUGUACAUAAGACCUGUAAUGUACCUUCUGCUGCAUGUGCUGUACAGUAGGCAUAAUGUGAUUGGUUAUAUAUUGUACAGUAUGCAUAAUGUGAUUGGUUAUGUACUGUACAGUAGGCCUAAUGUGAUUGGUUAUGUAUUGUACAGUAGGCAUAAUGUGUUGGUUAUUUACAUGUACAGUAGGCAUAAUGUGAUUGGUUAUAUAUUGUACAGUAUGCAUAAUGUGAUUGGUUAUAUAUUGUAC
rnacentral:lncRNA from 1 species